GCACUUUGGUCCCUUGCGAAUUGGGAAAUUAACCCACAGUCGUUGCCCCAGAGAGGAAUGUGCUAGACGAGAGAAAGGUGCGAGACGAGAGCUAGGGUUCCGCCGCCAGCAAUCCUUUCUCUUCCCCCCGGGCGGCCGCCGCUGGACUUCAUCGCUCCACCACGUGCACCCGCACCACCACCUUCCUCGCGCGGCCGUACGUGCUGGAGGCCGUCCGAGUUGCGCCAGUGCCUCGAGGAAGGGUCACCGCCGCCAGACCAGAUCGAAGAGGAGUGGCUCCACGGGAACGACACCAUCGGCAGCCCCUACGCAUCCUCAGUCUGCGCCCGCGCCGGCGAAAUCAGCCGCGGCGCCACCUUGUUCCUGCGCCGCCGCGUCCCCCGACUUCAUCUCCUUGGUCUCCUCCCUCAAGUCCUGCCUCGCAUCUCAGAGGCCCUCACCUGGUGGGCAACAUCGCGGAUGCCAUCGCCUGUCUCCACCCCUCGAUGCCUCCCGUAUCUCCGUCGUCCUUCGCCUUCCGGAGGCCUGCUCCGUCUGGGCGGGGUGAAGAAGUGACAGGGCUACAUCGAUUACAGUGCAGCGAUCAGGGGCAUUGGAGCAGGCACGCCAACCACCAACAAGCAGCAAUAACAGGGAAGGUACAAGGGUUAUUGAGAGCACAAAGGAUGCAGAAAGAAAGGGGUGGCAUGGUAAUUUUAAGCCAUUUCUGUGAGGCUCUGUUCACUGAUGUAAUAAUUUUCUCUCCCGGAGAUAUAUUUUCCACAAGAAUCAAGCAAGUUCAGAUAUUAUAUCUGACCGCUGAAUACUACCUACCCCAACAUGCAACAGAUUCAAGGUGGUUUGCUGAGAACAUGGGUUUUAGGAUCAUCCUGAGCAAACUAGGACAUGAAGAAGCCUCCAGUGGUGUCUAGCUGAGAUUAAGUGGUUUGUGCCAUUCCCCAAUCUGCAGAACAUUGCAGUCGACUUAUAAUUGCUUCAAGGUAAAGUCUGGUUUUAGACAAGAUCAAUGCGGAGAAACUAGCCACCGGUUCUUGAGCGAUGCACUACUGUGAAGGGAGAUCAGAUAAUAGGCAUGUGUUCUUAAUUUGGCCGAAAUUCGGCAGCUCUUAUUACAUCGCAUUUUGUCAUAGCAUUGCUCCAGGAUAAUUUGCAGAGUUCCAAGGUAAAAUAAGAACUGAAAAUAUAUGAUGUAAAUCUUAGGAAUUGACCUAGAUAGAUAUAUCUCUUUUAGAAGUGGGCAGCCUUUUUGUUUGAUGGUGUUUGAUUAAGGGAUAUCUUUAAAGUUUAAACUGAUAUACGUUUUCUUAAAGUUUAACUCAAUUUUGUAGUUUAAAUGUCUUUUAAUUACCAGAAUAUAUGAAAGUUUAAAUGCCAAAGCUAGGUUUUGUUUCUAAGUGCAAGGUCCAGCUUUCAGCAACAACAGAGCAAUGCUUAUGUUUGAAUGCCACUAUUUCUUUGUUGUUUCUCUUCAAUAGUACACCUUAGCGCAGGACCGUGAGGUGCUGCUCCGCGCGACGUCCGCGACCACAGUACGUCCCUCUCGUCGCUCGACGGCGCGAGGUCCUCGCUUGGCAGCUUAUGAUACCUGGAGUAUUAUUUUCCUCUCAGUAUGAGUCGUUGCCAAAGUAGUCAUGGAAACCAGCAGCCCUUGCAGUUGUUGACCACCACGGCGAGCAGCAUCACUGCGCCGUUCGCAAACAAGAAUGGCAUGCUGCCGGACGUCCGUGCUCUUCUUCCAUGUGGCCCGUCUUCCGCUGCUGGAUGUACAAGCUAUAGACGAAUUGAUUCAUGCCACGCUUCGAUACUCUCUCCUUCUGUAUGUCAACUUCAGUCAGAAAUACAUAUUGAGAUGAGUUCUUGCAUCUUAGGUUAAUGAACCUUGCUAUACAUAAGGCACUUCCGAUCAAAGCAGGCCAUGUGAUUCUCUCAUGUGUGGUAAUGCUUUGGAACGUCCUGAAUAAAUUAAGAAAUGGAGUACUCCUAUACUCUUUGAGCGACCAGUUCAUAGAGAUGAUCGAGGACGUCUCCAUGAUGUUACAUUGCUGCUAUGGACAAAUGCAGAAUUGUUGUUGAUGAAAGAUGCCAGAGUUUGCUUGAUGCUCAGAAAAUAAUAUAUGGAAAUCUUGCUCAUGUUAUUAACAUUAAACGGGAGAAGUUAGGGUUCUUAGAGGCCUCGAAGUAAUUAUUGCUGCAAGAAUAGCCAGUAUUGCACUUAUGACUAGGACUUUCAUGGACUAGGCUGAUCAUCCAGCUGUUGGGAUUUGGGUUUUUUCAGUUUGGUUAAGUGUGAAGAUUUAAGUUACAUGUUAAAAAUAUGAAGUAUCAAGUUUUUUUGCAACUAGAGGCAAUGCCACUCAGAAGUUCAAACUGAAAAUGAUGGUACAAUGUUUUAGGCCUGAUAUGACAAUAAGGUGCUAAAAUGAAUCAUCCACUGCCGCGGUAGCAAUUUUAUUGACCUGGACACACCUCUUGUAUUGUCUAAAGAUCUAGCUUCCGGUGACUACGAAGGUAUUCUUCAACAAAAUCUUGUAAAGCUGUAAAGCUGCAAUUUCCUCCAAAGAUACAGUUCUAUUUCGAGUGUUAUUAAAUAUGAGACAUGUUUUUGUCCAAGAUUUCAUUUAGAAGA